rnacentral:siRNA from 1 species
GCAAAUUCCUUUCAAGCGUGAUA